rnacentral:rRNA from 1 species
AUUGAACGCUGGCGGCAUGCCUUACACAUGCAAGUCGAACGGUAACAGGUCUUCGGAUGCUGACGAGUGGCGAACGGGUGAGUAAUACAUCGGAACGUGCCUAGUAGUGGGGGAUAACUACUCGAAAGAGUGGCUAAUACCGCAUGAGAUCUACGGAUGAAAGCAGGGGAUCGCAAGACCUUGUGCUACUAGAGCGGCCGAUGGCAGAUUAGGUAGUUGGUGGGAUAAAGGCUUACCAAGCCGACGAUCUGUAGCUGGUCUGAGAGGACGAUCAGCCACACUGGGACUGAGAAACGGCCCAGACUCCUACGGGAGGCAGCAGUGGGGAAUUUUGGACAAUGGGCGCAAGCCUGAUCCAGCAAUGCCGCGUGCAGGAUGAAGGCCUUCGGGUUGUAAACUGCUUUUGUACGGAACGAAAAGCCCUGGGUUAAUACCCUGGGGUCAUGACGGUACCGUAAGAAUAAGCACCGGCUAACUACGUGCCAGCCGCCGCGGUAACAC